UACGUAGGGUGCGAGCGUUAAUCGGAAUUACUGGGCGUAAAGAGCGCGCAGGCGGUCGUUCAAGUCGCGUGUGAAAGCCCCCGGCUCAACUGGGGAGGGUCACGCGAUACUGAUCGACUCGAAGGCAGGAGAGGGUAGUGGAAUUCCCGGUGUAGUGGUGAAAUGCGCAGAUAUCAGGAGGAACACCAAUGGCGAAGGCAGCUCGCUGGGACGGUACUGACGCUGAGACGCGAAAGCGUGGGGAGCAAACAGG
rnacentral:rRNA from 1 species